rnacentral:rRNA from 1 species
UUAAGCGACUAAGCGUACACGGUGGAUGCCCUGGCAGUCAGAGGCGAUGAAGGACGUGCUAAUCUGCGAAAAGCGUCGGUAAGGUGAUAUGAACCGUUACAGCCGGCGAUGUCCGAAUGGGGAAACCCAGUGCAAUUCGUUGCACUAUCGUUAACUGAAUACAUAGGUUAGCGAGGCGAACCGGGGGAACUGAAACAUCUAAGUACCCCGAGGAAAAGAAAUCAACCGAGAUUCCCCCAGUAGCGGCGAGCGAACGGGGAGCAGCCCAGAGUCUGAAUCAGCUUGUGUGUUAGUGGAACGGUCUGGAAAGUCCGACGGUACAGGGUGAUAGUCCCGUACACCAAAAUGCACAGGUUGUGAACUCGAAGAGUAGGGCGGGACACGUGGUAUCCUGUCUGAAUAUGGGGGGACCAUCCUCCAAGGCUAAAUACUCCUGACUGACCGAUAGUGAACCAGUACCGUGAGGGAAAGGCGAAAAGAACCCCGGCGAGGGGAGUGAAAAAGAACCUGAAACCGUGUACGUACAAGCAGUGGGAGCACCUUCGGGUGUGACUGCGUACCUUUUGUAUAAUGGGUCAGCGACUUAUAUUCUGUAGCAAGGUUAACCGUAUAGGGGAGCCGCAGGGAAACCGAGUCUUAACUGGGCGUUAAGUUGCAGGGUAUAGACCCGAAACCCGGUGAUCUAGCCAUGGGCAGGUUGAAGGUUGGGUAACACUAACUGGAGGACCGAACCGACUAAUGUUGAAAAAUUAGCGGAUGACUUGUGGCUGGGGGUGAAAGGCCAAUCAAACCGGGAGAUAGCUGGUUCUCCCCGAAAGCUAUUUAGGUAGCGCCUCGUGAACUCAUCUUCGGGGGUAGAGCACUGUUUCGGCUAGGGGGUCAUCCCGACUUACCAACCCGAUGCAAACUACGAAUACCGAAGAAUGUUAUCACGGGAGACACACGGCGGGUGCUAACGUCCGUCGUGAAGAGGGAAACAACCCAGACCGCCAGCUAAGGUCCCAAAGUCAUGGUUAAGUGGGAAACGAUGUGGGAAGGCACAGACAGCCAGGAUGUUGGCUUAGAAGCAGCCAUCAUUUAAAGAAAGCGUAAUAGCUCACUGGUCGAGUCGGCCUGCGCGGAAGAUGUAACGGGGCUAAACCAUGCACCGAAGCUGCGGCAGCGACACUAUGUGUUGUUGGGUAGGGGAGCGUUCUGUAAGCCUGCGAAGGUGACCUGUGAGGGUUGCUGGAGGUAUCAGAAGUGCGAAUGCUGACAUAAGUAACGAUAAAGCGGGUGAAAAGCCCGCUCGCCGGAAGACCAAGGGUUCCUGUCCAACGUUAAUCGGGGCAGGGUGAGUCGACCCCUAAGGCGAGGCCGAAAGGCGUAGUCGAUGGGAAACAGGUUAAUAUUCCUGUACUUGGUGUUACUGCGAAGGGGGGACGGAGAAGGCUAUGUUAGCCGGGCGACGGUUGUCCCGGUUUAAGCAUGUAGGCUGGUUGUCCAGGCAAAUCCGGAUAAUCAAGGCUGAGGUGUGAUGACGAGGCACUACGGUGCUGAAGUAACAAAUGCCCUGCUUCCAGGAAAAGCCUCUAAGCAUCAGGUAACAUUAAAUCGUACCCCAAACCGACACAGGUGGUCAGGUAGAGAAUACCAAGGCGCUUGAGAGAACUCGGGUGAAGGAACUAGGCAAAAUGGUGCCGUAACUUCGGGAGAAGGCACGCUGGUGUGUAGGUGAAGCCCCUGCGGGUGGAGCUGAGACCAGUCGAAGAUACCAGCUGGCUGCAACUGUUUAUUAAAAACACAGCACUGUGCAAACACGAAAGUGGACGUAUACGGUGUGACGCCUGCCCGGUGCCGGAAGGUUAAUUGAUGGGGUUAUCCGUAAGGAGAAGCUCUUGAUCGAAGCCCCGGUAAACGGCGGCCGUAACUAUAACGGUCCUAAGGUAGCGAAAUUCCUUGUCGGGUAAGUUCCGACCUGCACGAAUGGCGUAAUGAUGGCCAGGCUGUCUCCACCCGAGACUCAGUGAAAUUGAACUCGCUGUGAAGAUGCAGUGUACCCGCGGCAAGACGGAAAGACCCCGUGAACCUUUACUAUAGCUUGACACUGAACAUUGAGCCUUGAUGUGUAGGAUAGGUGGGAGGCUUUGAAGCGUGGACGCCAGUCUGCGUGGAGCCAACCUUGAAAUACCACCCUUUAAUGUUUGAUGUUCUAACGUUGGCCCCUUAUCGGGGUUGCGGACAGUGUCUGGUGGGUAGUUUGACUGGGGCGGUCUCCUCCCAAAGCGUAACGGAGGAGCACGAAGGUUAGCUAAUCCUGGUCGGACAUCAGGAGGUUAGUGCAAUGGCAUAAGCUAGCUUGACUGCGAGCGUGACGGCGCGAGCAGGUGCGAAAGCAGGUCAUAGUGAUCCGGUGGUUCUGAAUGGAAGGGCCAUCGCUCAACGGAUAAAAGGUACUCCGGGGAUAACAGGCUGAUACCGCCCAAGAGUUCAUAUCGACGGCGGUGUUUGGCACCUCGAUGUCGGCUCAUCACAUCCUGGGGCUGAAGUAGGUCCCAAGGGUAUGGCUGUUCGCCAUUUAAAGUGGUACGCGAGCUGGGUUUAGAACGUCGUGAGACAGUUCGGUCCCUAUCUGCCGUGGGCGCUGGAGAAUUGAGGGGGGCUGCUCCUAGUACGAGAGGACCGGAGUGGACGCAUCACUGGUGUUCGGGUUGUCAUGCCAAUGGCACUGCCCGGUAGCUAAAUGCGGAAGAGAUAAGUGCUGAAAGCAUCUAAGCACGAAACUUGCCCCGAGAUGAGUUCUCCCUGAGACUUUAAGUCUCCUGAAGGAACGUUGAAGACGACGACGUUGAUAGGCCGGGUGUGUAAGCGCAGCGAUGCGUUGAGCUAACCGGUACUAAUGAACCGUGAGGCUUAACCUU